rnacentral:rRNA from 1 species
GAUGAACGCUGGCGGCGUGCCUAAUGCAUGCAAGUCGAGCGAACAGACGAGGAGCUUGCUCCUCUGACGUUAGCGGCGGACGGGUGAGUAACACGUGGAUAACCUACCUAUAAGACUGGGAUAACUUCGGGAAACCGGAGCUAAUACCGGAUAACAUGUUGAACCGCAUGGUUCAACAGUGAAAGACGGUCUUGCUGUCACUUAUAGAUGGAUCCGCGCCGCAUUAGCUAGUUGGUAAGGUAACGGCUUACCAAGGCAACGAUGCGUAGCCGACCUGAGAGGGUGAUCGGCCACACUGGAACUGAGACACGGUCCAGACUCCUACGGGAGGCAGCAGUAGGGAAUCUUCCGCAAUGGGCGAAAGCCUGGCGGAGCAACGCCGCGUGAGUGAAGAAGGUCUUCGGAUCGUAAAACUCUGUUAUUAGGGAAGAACAAAUGUGUAAGUAACUAUGCACGUCUUGACGGUACCUAAUCAGAAAGCCACGGCUAACUACGUG